rnacentral:rRNA from 1 species
ACCUGCUCGGUGAAUAUAUUUUAACAGCCGCGGUACUCUGACCGUGCAAAGGUAGCAUAAUCAUUUGCCUUAUAAUUGAAGGCUAGUAUGAAUGGUUUGACGAGAAUUAAGCUGUCUCUUUUUAACUAAAUAUAACUUUAUUAAGAGGUGAAGAAGCCUGUAUUUUAUUGAAAGACAAGAAGACCCUAUCGAGCUUUAAAGAAUUUAGUAGCUUUACCAUAUAUUAAUAAAAAAGUAAAGCAACUAAAUAUUUUGGUUGGGGCGACUGAGGAACUAACAAAGCUUCCUUUAUGCUAAUUAAAACUUACAAGUAUUGAUCCAAUUUAUUUGAUUAAAGAAAUUAGUUACCGUAGGGAUAACAGCAUAAUCUCCUUUGAGAGUUCUCAUCGAAAAGGGGGUUUGUGACCUCGAUGUUGGACCAGAAUACCCAGAAGAUGCAGCCGUCUUCAAUGGUUGGUCUGUUCGACCAUUAAAAUUCUACGUGAUCUGAGUUCAGACCGGCGUGAGCCAGGUCAGUUUCUAUCUUCAAUUUUUAUAGUGGCCUUAGU